GACGAACGCUGGCGGCGUGCUUAACACAUGCAAGUCGAACGGAAAGGCCCUGCUUUUGUGGGGUGCUCGAGUGGCGAACGGGUGAGUAACACGGGAGUAACCUGCCCUUGACUUUGGGAUAACUUCAGGAAACUGGGGCUAAUACCGGAUAGGAGCUCCUGCUGCAUGGUGGGGGUUGGAAAGUUUCGGCGGUUGGGGAUGGACUCGCGGCUUAUCAGCUUGUUGGUGGGGUAGUGGCUUACCAAGGCUUUGACGGGUAGCCGGCCUGAGAGGGUGACCGGCCACAUUGGGACUGAGAUACGGCCCAGACUCCUACGGGAGGCAGCAGUGGGGAAUAUUGCACAAUGGGCGGAAGCCUGAUGCAGCAACGCCGCGUGCGGGAUGACGGCCUUCGGGUUGUAAACCGCUUUCGCCCGUGACGAAGCGUGAGUGACGGUAAUGGGUAAAGAAGCACCGGCUAACUACGUG
rnacentral:rRNA from 1 species